UCCACCUAUGACUCCAGCUUCAUGUCUCAUUCUCAUAAACUGACUUCAUUUUUCAGUCAUUUUGUAAAUACCGAAACGUAUUUUCGGGAUUGACGCAUCCAGCAGCCACUUCUCUGCUUGUAAACAGUUUAAGGCUUAUUGAACCAUCUUUCAACUCUGAUGUGAGAUAUUGUCAGCCCAUCACACGUGAACGGAGAGUGUGUAAAAGAGCCACAUUAUCUUCUGAUUAUGCUCAUAAGGUGUUGCUGAUGGGUGACAGCCUACUUGAAGUUUUCCCCCCGCGCAGCGCGUCCAGUCAUCGAUCAUCUGCCCCCGGUGCCAGAAACGGUGUCAUAACAUGAUAAUGCGGCUUCACACAUUCGGCGGUGAUUCCUGUGGUAAAACCCGAGCGGUUGGAUCCGAUGGGACACAUUUCCAGGCAUGAAAUGAUUAUCAAACCCUCCUGCACUCCGUCCGGCGAGGCUCCGGGGCGCGGACAGCAGAGAAGCCACGAAGCCGCGCAGGACGCACGGACUUUUACGCAUAGAGAUACCGGAUCAAAUAAUAAACUGGGUUGCCUUGUGGUCAUCAAGUUUGUUAAUUCAGUUAUUUAUUGGUGAGUAGAAGCUCUCCUUCUCUCAUUCCUUUUUUAUUUUUACGGCACAUUAAAUAAUUAAAAACAUUAUUGUCACAGUGAUAUUUUCUUGAAGGAAAGUUAUUUUUAAUUAAAGGAGAAGCUGUUGUUUAAAUCCACUUUCAGCUAAAUUUGUGGGUUUAGUGAAACGCAAACAGGAUUAUAUAGCUCACUACACCACAAGGCACAAUACAUUUUAGAGGGUCAUUGAGAGAAAGUGAAGCUAAAUUAACACGAAAGGAGACCACAUCAUCGCCUGACCACUGUAAAAUAACCACAAUGCAUUAUAAAGCAAUUAAGCUACUUCAAUUAGCGUCUAUAAAAGCAAACUGGAGCUCCACUUUCUCUCUUGAAGUUGCUCUUCCGCGAGGGUCAGCGCAUUUUGGCAUCCUCAAAGAGAGCAGGGGGGCAAAUACUGUCAUUUCUGUUUAAUCCGCUUUGCGAUGACGGUAAUGCUGUGAGUCGUUUCAAUAAAAUCAGGAAGUAUUUCUUUCAAACUGCUGAAUGUAAAUUGACAGCAUGUUUGACCGCCGAAACUAAUGGAAGUGUUAUGAGACGGCCUGUGCGCCGGGAGUUGUGCUGUUUGAAGACAAAGAUAAGUUGCAGCCUUUAUAUUAGUUUAUAAAACACACGCAUCAUGCAGAAAUACAAUGUCCAAGAUGUGUAUCCCUCACUGUGUAACAUAUUACUAUUUUAAGUCACAAGGCCUACUAGUUAUUUUUAGCUCAGAGAAUGUUGCAAUAAAUAAUGCACAUUUGAAUAUUAAUUUUAAUACGUGCAGUUUUGAGUAAAAAAAUGAAUAAAAACUAGAACUCCAGGUCAGAGAAUCGCUGUCAGAGCCGUCUGUAUCUCUGUUUGUCUUCUUGGCUGUUUGAAGAAAGAAGGAGCAACUGGCAGCCUGAGGAGUCAAACUGAGGUCAAACUUUUUGCAGCCCCGCAGCUCUGCGCCCAAACGUGUUGGGAUCUGCAAAGGCCACUGAGUCUCUCUGCUCUGUGUCACUGCUGCAGCACACAGGCACACAGAUAGACCUGCUGCAAAGUUUUCACAGCUCAUCUAAUUAUAUGAAACUACUAGUAUAUUAUCGCCUGUCAGAAUACCCAGCCGGAUUCAUUAGGGUGCAUGUAGGCGCUGUGAGCUCCGGUCUGAAAUUAUUCAGUCAGAAAAAAAGGCGCUCGGCUUUGUACAAGUAAAUGAUUUCUCUUGCCUCGGAGAUUUAUUUUUAAAGUUAGUGUAAUGAGCUAUAACGCGAGGGAGCAUCCAGUGUCAUAUGAGAAAGCCAUGUGUUAUACCCUGAAUCUCCAUCAUCGUUCACAAAUUGUUACUAAUUCAUGAAAGUGGAGUAAAGGUUGAAAUUAUUACAGUUUGCCUCAAAUUAUUGUAACAGGAUGACGGGGUGUGAUUUUUACGAAUGGUUCUUUAAAAUAAUGCAACUAAUAUCUCGGGAGUAUAAUUAAAUGGCACCGAAAACAUGGUAAAUACUAUGGCGUGUGGUUAAAUGUGUAAAAUCACAGCUUUGGUAUAAUGGCAAUAAUAUAAUGCAUCGCAAUAUUAAUUUGAAACCAUGAAAUCAGUUACAGUUUGUUUUUUAUCAACUCUUUCCUCUGGGAGUUUUCACUUCUGCUGGAUCCUGCAGUUUGGCCCAAAUGAUAAUCUGAGCUGCUCUCGCCUCUCACACACAUUAAUGCUUAAUCAUUUGCGCCUUCUACCGGAGGUGUUGGAAAUUACAUGAAAGGCAGAGGAAGAGUCUUGCUCAAGACAAAUUAAGAUAAAAAGCAAGUAAAACCCCUGCAAAAUAAAUCCACUUUUUUUUGUGUGUAAUUCUGUUGCAUCGUGAGCAUUUUAUAUCUUCUUCAGCAUGCUGCACUAAAUGCAGAAUAUACUGUUCGAAUCUGUAAAGACAUUUAUUGAUAUAUUUCUCAUGAUCUUUGUUCAUGUAAAUAAUUUAACAUGCUAAUAAAAUAUAUAAUAGUG